UACGGAGGGUGCAAGCGUUGAUCGGAAUUACUGGGCGUAAAGAGUGCGUAGGUGGUUCUGUGUGUUAGAUGUGAAAUCCACGGGCUCAACCUGUGAAUUGCAUUUAAAACUGCAUAGCUAGAGUGUUGUAGAGGGUGGCGGAAUUUCCAGUGUAGCGGUGAAAUGCGUAGAUAUUGGAAGGAACACCAGUGGCGAAGGCGGCCACCUGGACAAACACUGACACUGAGGUACGAAAGCGUGGGUAGCGAACAGG
rnacentral:rRNA from 1 species